AUUGAACGCUGGCGGCAGGCCUAACACAUGCAAGUCGAACGGUAACAGGAAGCAGCUUGCNGUUUGCUGACGAGUGGCGGACGGGUGAGUAAUGUCUGGGAAACUGCCUGAUGGAGGGGGAUAACUACUGGAAACGGUAGCUAAUACCGCAUAACGUCGCAAGACCAAAGAGGGGGACCUUAGGGCCUCUUGCCAUCGGAUGUGCCCAGAUGGGAUUAGCUAGUAGGUGGGGUAACGGCUCACCUAGGCGACGAUCCCUAGCUGGUCUGAGAGGAUGACCAGCCACACUGGAACUGAGACACGGUCCAGACUCCUACGGGAGGCAGCAGUGGGGAAUAUUGCACAAUGGGCGCAAGCCUGAUGCAGCCAUGCCGCGUGUAUGAAGAAGGCCUUCGGGUUGUAAAGUACUUUCAGCGGGGAGGAAGGGAGUAAAGUUAAUACCUUUGCUCAUUGACGUUACCCGCAGAAGAAGCACCGGCUAACUCCGUG
rnacentral:rRNA from 1 species